UACGUAGGGGGCAAGGCGUUGUCCGGAAUUACUGGGCGUAAAGCGCACGUAGGCGGGUUGUUAAGUCAGGGGUGAAAUCCUGGAGCUCAACUCCAGAACUGCCUUUGAUACUGGACGAGCUUGAGUCCGGGAGAGGUGAGUGGAACUCCGAGUGUAGAGGUGGAAAUUCGAUAGAUAUUCGGAAGACACCAGUGGCGAAGGCGGCUCACUGGCCCGGUACGUGGACGGCUGACUGUGCGAAAGCGUGGGGAG
rnacentral:rRNA from 1 species